GGGUAGAACCGGGGUAAGCGUGUAGGAGGAGGACCAGGCAAAUCCGGGCCUCAUAUACUCUGAGACGUGAUACCGAGCCGCUUCAGGCGAAGUCAUUAAUCCUAUGCUGCCUAGAAAAGCCCAGUAGCGAGUUGACAUGGUGCCCGUACCCCAAACCAACACAGGUGGACAGGUAGAGCAUACCAAGGCGAGUGGGAUAACUAUGGUUAAGGAACUCGGCAAAUUUCCUCCGUAACUUCGGGAUAAGGAGGACCCCAGUAGCGUGACGAGACUUGCUCUCCGAGCGUGAAGGGGUGGCACAAAAUUGAGGGAAGCGACUGUUUACCAAAAACACAGCAGCGUGCUAAGCCGUAAGGCGCUGUAUACGCUGUGACUCCUGCCCGGUGCUGGAAGGUUACGGGGAUGGGUUAGUCCUUUGGGACGAAGCUCUGAACCUAAGCCCCAGUAAACGGCGGCCGUAACUAUAACGGUCCUAAGGUAGCGAAAUUCCUUGUCGGGUAAGUUCCGACCUGCACGAAUGGAGUAACGACUUCCCUACUGUCUCAACCAUAGACCCAGCGAAAUUGAAGUACGAGUAAAGAUGCUCGUUAGCUGCAGAAGGACGGAAAGACCCCGUGGACCUUUACUAUAACUUGAUGUUGUGUUUUGUCAUAUGUUGUGUAGGAUAGGUGGGAGACAAGGAAGCAUGGACGCUAGUCUGUGUGGAGUCAUCGUUGAAAUACCACCCUGCAUAUGGUGAGGCUCUAACCUAGACCCGUUAUCCGGGUUGGGGACAGCGUCAGGCGGGUAGUUUAACUGGGGCGGUUGCCUCCUAAAGAGUAACGGAGGCGCCCAAAGGUUCCCUCAGCCUGGUUGGCAAUCAGGCGUCGAGUGCAAUGGCAAAAGGGAGCUUGACUGCGAGACCUACAAGUCGAGCAGGAGCGAAAGCUGGGCAUAGUGAUCCGGCGGUUGCGUGUGGAAGCGCCGUCGCUCAACGGAUAAAAGGUACCCCGGGGAUAACAGGCUAAUCUUGCCCAAGCGUCCAUAGCGACGGCAAGGUUUGGCACCUCGAUGUCGGCUCAUCGCAUCCUGGGGCUGAAGCAGGUCCCAAGGGUUGGGCUGUUCGCCCAUUAAAGCGGUACGCGAGCUGGGUUCAGAACGUCGUGAGACAGUUCGGUCCCUAUCCUCUGUAGCCGUAGGUGAAUUGAGGAAAGCUGUCCCUAGUACGAGAGGACCGGGACGGACGCAGCUCUCGUGUGCCAGUUGUCCUGCCAAGGGCAUGGCUGGUUAGCGACCUGCGGAAAGGAUAACCGCUGAAAGCAUCUAGGCGGGAAGCCUCUUCCAAGAUGAAUUCACCCACAGGGUUAACCUGGUAAGGCCCGUGGUAGACCACCACGUUGAUAGGCCGGAAGUGUAAGCGUGGCAACACGUUCAGCUGACCGGUACUAAUCGGCCGAGGGCUUGAAUA
rnacentral:rRNA from 1 species